CUACGGGACGCACCAGUCGCGGAACUUUUACAAUGCACGCAAGUGUGAUAAAGCAAACCAAAGUGUUCUUCUUUUUGAAGAACUUUUAUUUACUGUAAAAAUGUAGAUGAAUAAGGACUGGGCAAAACCGGUGCCAGCCGCCGCGGUAAUACCGGUGGUCCAAAUUGCAUCCACUUUUAUUGGGUCUAAAACAUCCGUAGCUUGUUGCUUAAGUCUCUUGUGAAAUCUUACGUCUCAAGCGUGAGGCUGGCAAGAGAUACUGGGCGACUGGAGAUCGGUAGACGUAAAGAGUACGCCGGGGGUAACGGUUAAAUGUGUUAAUCCUCGGUGGACUAACAAUGAGCGAAGGCACUUUACGAGGACGAAUCUGACAGUGAGGGAUGAAGGCCAGGGGCGCAAAACGGAUUAGAUACCCCGGUAGUC
rnacentral:rRNA from 1 species